ACCAGUGUGUGCUGCUAGGGAGCACCAGUCUAGCUUUAGAGUUUAAACAGGCCUGAUUUAUCAUUCUUAUUAGUGUUGUCACCACACGAUUUCUAAUUCUCUCAUAUAUUUCUGCGUACGUACUCUUAAUGGGAACUGUUCUCUUCUGUCAUACCCACAAAGGCUGGCUGACUCUGGGCGGUACCAGCUGGCUGUGUUCACAGGUAGCUGCCUUGGCAGCUCAAGUUAACAUGCCUCUGAUGCUGACCACAGGGGAUCCUUCUCUUAGGGCCUGCUAGCAGCCCCUGAGGCGCCAAGGCAUGGUGCUGAGCAUGCUUUCCCAGUGGACACCCAAGGGACCCAGAGCUUUCGCUUUCCAUUUCUGUAAGCCUUUAGGUAGGGACUUUCCUAAUACUUGCACUGUAUUUUCAACAUUACUGGCACGUAAUUAAGGCCUGCAUUUUGAGCCUGGUAACAUUAACGCAGACAUGUAUGUGUUGGCUGGAAAAGUGACUCUUGAAGGGCAAAAUGAUCCAGUUCUCUCAUCCCCUAGGCUUUGGGCCAGUAAUGAAGAAAAAAUGAACAACCUGCAAGAAGGAAGGUUUUCUUUCCUAGCUGUGUGCAGGCAGACCCUAAAAACAGAAGCAGAACUGUGGACCUGAUACGUGCAGCAGGUGAGGUCGUCAGGAGACAGAAUGACUCUUACUGAGCCCGUCUUGAAGACAGUCACUGCUGUAGAAGAGCACUGAAGCACAGUAGUUUGCGUAGCGCUGGAUUUCCAACUUUGCCUUCGUAUGGCAUAGAAAAAGUGGAAGGCCCUCAGCACGGAGAUUCAGGCUCCAGCACUCAACGGCCAGCUGGAAGAAGAGGGCUGGCAGCCCGUUUCCAUCUGGUUGCUGAUGCUGUGAGCCCUCUGUGUUCCUGCGGGGAGGACAUCCCCUUUUCCUCCUCUCCCAGAGCCCACAGCUCGCAGCAUUCCAAGAUUCUAAAGGCAGGUGGAACCAUUCAGAGGUGCUUACAGAAGAGAGUCUGCAACAUCUCCAACUGCUUGGAGGCACUUCAGGUCCCCGAGUCUUCCAGACUGCAGAGGUCCAGUUGUUAUUACACCACAAGCUUUAAGCAUUUUGAACGUGAAAGAGAAAAAAGAAGGGGAGAUUUCCCACGUGUGUAAACUGGCAUUAUACAGUCCAAAUGCCAGUAGGUGGCACCCAAGA
ensembl:lncRNA